rnacentral:tRNA from 1 species
CCCUACGAAGCUUCUUUAAGCACCAGUCUUUUAAACUAGAGAAAAUAAUUUUAUAUUAUUCGUAAGCC